CUGUUCUUCAACAGUCCAACACAAGAGAAGCCAUGCCAGUUCAUCCCUCCCUCAUCCUACUGCUGCUUGACUGAUGGUAUAAAACCUGGAGCUCUGUCAUUUACCGUGAAGAAGGAAAUAAUAAGCAAGGAAAACAGAGAGAAAAUUAUGAAUGGCACCUGGUCUCUGGAUAAGAUCAUCCAGAUUCUCAUGGACAUCCCUGGAUUGUAAAAGUAGAAUCACAUUCUUCACAUAAAGAGGAUGCUUCUCUGGUCUGCCGGAACAAUACUGGCCAUUUUAUCUAAAAUCUGUACAUAACCUUAGAAAGAGGAAUGUUAUCACCCAUACCUGACUUAGAAUUUUAAAUACAAGAAUAUCCUCUAUUAGAAAAUUCUUACUGUCUAUUUGAACUCCCAUAGUAUAUCUUUAUGAAAGUUGUGUAAGUGUCUUAAAAGGUUCAGAUCAAGGUUGAGAUUAGGUGACUUGACCCCAGACUAUGUAUUUCUAUUAAACCAAAUGGAAUAGAAA
rnacentral:lncRNA from 1 species